UACGUAGGGUGCGAGCGUUAAUCGGAAUUACUGGGCGUAAAGCGUGCGCAGGCGGUUCGUUGUGUCUGAUGUGAAAGCCCCGGGCUCAACCUGGGAAUGGCAUUGGAAACUGGCGAGCUAGAGUGUGGCAGAGGGGGGUGGAAUUCCGGGUGUAGCAGUGAAAUUCGUAGAGAUCGGGUGGAACACCAGUGGCGAAGGCGCCUGUCUGGCUGACAACUGACGCUGAGACUCGAAAGCAUGGGGAGCAAACAGG
rnacentral:rRNA from 1 species